AGCAGCCGCGGUAAUUCCAGCUCCAAUAGCGUAUAUUAAAGUUGUUGCAGUUAAAAAGCUCGUAGUUGAAUUUCGGGGUUAGUAGGUUGGUCAUGCCACUGGUAUGUACUGGUCUCACUGAUUCCUCCUUCCUGAUGAGCCGUAAUGCCAUUAAUUUGGUGUUGCGAGGAAUCUGGACUGUUACUUUGAAAAAAUUAGAGUGUUUAAAGCAAGCUAACGCUUGAAUACAUUAGCAUGGAAUAAUGAAAUAGGACGUUCGAUCCUAUUUUGUUGGUUUCUAGGAUUGACGUAAUGAUUAAUAGGGAUAGUUGGGGGCAUUAGUAUUCAAUUGUCAGAGGUGAAAUUCUUGGAUUUAUUGAAGACUAACUACUGCGAAAGCAUUUGCCAAGGAUGUUUUCAUUAAUCAAGAACGAAAGUUAGGGGAUCGAAGACGAUCAGAUACCGUCGUAGUCUUAACCAUAAACUAUGCCGACUAGGGAUCGAAUGAUGUAUUUUAAUGACUCAUUCGGCGCCG
rnacentral:rRNA from 1 species